UUGACCUCGGAUCAGGGUAGGAAUACCCGCUGAACUUAAGCAUAUCAAUAAGCGGAGGAA
rnacentral:rRNA from 1 species